rnacentral:lncRNA from 1 species
UUUGCUGUUUGGGGCUACAAUGACAUUGCAGUUAGUCCUACGUUUGACCCAGUGAUGAAGCGCUUCCACGACACCACUCUUCCCUUCUGGAAUGAAAAGAUCCAAUACAUAUUUGAUGGGUACAAGACUCUGCCGUUCCCUUUUGAGAGUGUGGGCUUGGGGUGUGAGGGCCAGCCAGUGUCACUGGACAUACCCAAGAAGUUGUCAUUUGAUGGGUUUUUGAGGAUGUUGAGGUCAUGGUCUGCAGUAACCACGGCUAAGGACCGAGGCAUAGACCUGUUAUCGGAACGGGUGGUGAAAGAGUUUGAAACUGCCUGGGGUGGCUCCCGGGUGGUUCCAUCAGUCACCUACAACGCUUUUAUGCUUGCAGGGAAAGUCAAGCUGUAACCGUCAGUCUCUAAUAACCCACCUUCUUGUUGUACUGCUUCAAAUAAACUCUCUAAACAGCAGUUUUCUUUCUUGUUGAGGAAUUGUUUUACCAGAACAGAAUGAGGUGAGGUUAAAAAUCUAGUCCAAUUUCAUCUGAAAGUGCAAUUUCUGGCCAUAAAUUAAGGAACGUUGUGAACUACUUGUGUGAUUAUUGCAAUUACCUACCAUAAGCUUUCAUUUUGGCAGGGGGUUAAAAACAGUUUUUAUUCUUCAAAAAGAAAAAAAAAAGUUCUUCAAUUUUUAAAAUCACAUUUGAAGAAUUUUGUGCUGAAAAUAGUGUUUUUUUAACCCCAGAAUCAACAUAUUAUAAUAUAUAUAUAUAUAUAUAUAUAUAUAUAUAUAUAUAUAUAUCUAAAACAAAAUAAAAUUUUAAAAAUAAAUUUAAAGUGUCUGAAAUAUUUUCUUAUAGUAUUUUAAGAAAUAAUUAAAAAUACAAUGAAUAGAUGGAGAAUAUUGAGAAUAGGGUUGCCAAUGAGACAGGGAUUUUUUGGAUACCUACCUUCAAUAUUCCACUUUUCUAUUAUGAUAAAUCAUAGUAACUAAGAUAUUUUUCAUAUUGAAAAUAAUAAUUAUAUAAUAUAAUUUAUAUUUUCAAUAUGUAUCUUAAAAUGUGAUAGGUUUGUAAUAUAACAAGUUCUUUAUUUUUUAAUCUUUAUUUGUUUAUUUUUUUAAAAACUUAUCAAUACCUCUUAUUAUUAUUACUAUUUAUCUUAAUUUUGUAAAAGACAAUUAUUUAAAAUAAAGCCAAUAUUUUUUUUUAUCCUAAUCUCCUUUUUCAAAUAUAAUAUUGCAUAUAUUGUGAUUUAAUUAAUCAUUGACAUUGUUUUAGCCAUUAUUUUUAUUUUUAAGAGAUAAUGUCGAAUUUAGAGAAUUCAUUUUGAAUCCGUUGAUUUCUAUGUUUAUUUGUGAGUUUGAUGUUGGGUUGUCUAUUUCUCAUUUAUUUGAUUUGGUAUGAGAAUAAUUUGAUUUCCUUUCAACUAUAUCGUGUCUUUGAAGGUUAUUUUUUUUUUUCUCGUCUUUAUGUCUAAUCUCGGUUUCUUUUCCUACCAUUUAUAAGCAUAUAGGGGGAUUUUUCUGGUUUCUCGGGAGCAAGAGAAGUGUAUUGGGAAAUACUUCUGAGGUAAGUUCACUCCAUAUUCCUUGUUAUCUUCGAUUUUACACUGUUCAUAAUUUUUUUCUGUUAUGUUUGAGAGUUAUUUGUUGACUCUAUGUAUGUACUAGAAAAUUCAUUUUAAAUUCUUUAAUUUCUAUGUUUCCUUGUGAGCUUGAUGUUGGGUUGUCUAUUUUGCAUUACCAUUUCUCAUAUUCUUCGUACCCUCAAAACUUUAUAUUUUUUUUAAAUUUUUUUUUUUCACUUGUAAAUGGAAUAAUAUUGUUUAUUCAUACUAACUAGGCUUAGAAAUUAUUUAAAAAAAAAUCAAAUAUGAAAAAAUUUAAGACGGUACAAAGAAUGUGACAAAGGUUUCUCACAUUCUUUGUACCCAAUGAUGAAAAUAUCGGUAAUCACGGAUAUAUCGGUAACUUGAUUUUACGGAUAUAUCGGAUAUAUCGGUGAAAUAUCGACGGAUAUUUUGAAAAAAAAUUUUGAUAAGUAAAAAAUUGAUCAAAACUUAUGGAAAUGUAAAAAAACCUCGUGUUAAUGUAAUUAAAAAUAUAAUAAAUAAUUUAAAGUUGUUUUUGUGAAGAAUUUGAUAUAUAUAUAUAUAUAUAUAUAAUAUGAUUUGUGAUAUUAAGCAUAAUUAUAUUAUAUUAGUUGUACUUAUACACUCAUUAUGAAGUUUCAUGACAAACUUAUUUUAGUAAAUAUCAAUAAUUUAUACAUAUUAUCACAUAGCUUGAGGUUCAAUUUUGACUAUUGGAUCACAUCCAGUUUCAAUUUGGACCAUCCAAUGCACUGGGGUCCAAAUUGAAAUAUCAAUAAAAUAUUUUAUUUAAGAUCUAAUUUCUAAAAUUUUAUUAAAAAUACGUGGUAACAACUUUCUUUUAUUAACAUUAAUUUAUUUAAAUAAUUAAAAUUAUUAAUAAUUUAUCUUAUUAAAUUAAUUUUAAUCCAUAGUAGUGAUUUAAUCAUAAAUAAUUAAUAAUUAUUUAUAUAGAGAGAGGAAAAUUGUUCUCAUGAUAUGUUUCCUUUUUUUUUUUUAAUCUCUACUAAAUCUAAAAAUAAAAAGGCCACCCACUUCUCUCACUCGGGCAUCAAGAAGCCCGAAGCCCUUUUCUGAAGUUGCCCUCCAGACGAGAGAAUCCCUAAAAAGGCCCUAUUUUCCUCUGCCACUCUCAAUCCUCCCCGGUACUAAUCUAAUCUUGUUAUUUAUUUUCAUUUUUCUGCAACCCCGUUUGAUUCCCAUGAAAAUCCAUCCGCCAUUCGAUUUCUGGGAAAAUUCAUCCUCGUUUGAUUUCCGAGAAAAUCCAUGCAAAACCCCCCAGGAAAACCAGAAAGAUUGCUUUUUAUUUUUUGCUUCCUGUGUUUUCUGGAUCUGUUCUAGGGGUCGCUUUGCUUUUGUGCCAUUGGAUUUAAAUUUCACGAACCCUAAAUCCACGAUUUUUGAGCCAGGCUAAAAAACACAACCUUUGCCUGCAAAUCAUGAUCAGAUUUUGUCACCUGUGCGCGGGCUGGACUGGUAGGAAAUAUCGGGAAAUUUUCAGAAAAAUCGGUAAAAAAUCGGCUAUACAAACCGAAAAUUCGCCGAUAAAUUGCAGUGUCCGGCUAUUUUUUGAAGAUUUCGCCGAUUUUCGUCUGCAUCCAUUUUUCGGCAAUUUUUUCGCCGAUUUUAACCGAAAUUUGGCGAAAUUUCUCCCAUCGACAUUUCGCCCCCCUCUUUCGUAUCGCCGACCACCGAAACCCGAAAUUUCGGCGAAAAAAAUGGAAACUUUCAUCCUUGUUUGUACCUCAAAUUUUUACAUUUUUUUCAAUUUAAUUAUUUUUUAUACAUCCACAGUGGUCAACAAUAUUUUUUACCUUAAUGAACGUCGCUUUUCGUAAAAGGCAUCAGCCCCGAGAGCAAAGGCAAGCAAAUGAAAUAUAAAAACGGAGUGGCACCGGCACAUUCCCCAUAACAAGAAUAGGGAAGAAUGGCAGGGCUGUUCAACAAGCAGGCGGAGAUCUACUUGGAUGCUCGCCCUAAUUAUCCCCCACACUGGUAUUCUAUGUUGGCCGCUCUCACUCCACAACACUCUUUGGCUUGGGAUGUCGGCAUGGGCAACGGUCAAGCAGCUCUCGGUGUCAGUCCUUUCUCCUGCCUCUCUCCCUGUCUCUAAUUUUAUUUGAUUAAACUCAUCUUUAUUUGCUCAUGUUGUGAUUUAUUUACCCUAAAUCACCUGAUGCGGUUCCUUUUAAUUUUUCUCUACACCUAUGAAAUAGAAAAUUUUAGAUUGAUUAAUUCCUUUUCCUGCAUUUUCCUUCAGCAUAUUAGAUUUAUUUUCUUGGGCAUAUUGAUGUUAAAAGUGCCAAUUAAAUUUACUCAUGGAGAAAAGGGGUUGUGAUGAAGCAAUUCAAAUCAUAAACACAUGUUAUGUUGGCAGGUAGCUGAGCAUUAUGAGCAGGUGAUUGCGACUGAUGUGAGCGAAGCCCAACUGAAAUGUGCCAUUCCACAUCCCCGGGUCAAAUACCUUCACACCCCCUUAUCUCUCCCCGAUGAUGAAAUAGUGAGGUUGAUAGGGGGCGAGGGUUCGGUUGAUUUGGUGACUGUGGCUCAAGCUGUCCACUGGUUCGACCUCCCAACCUUCUACCCUCUAGUAGCUCGCCUGCUAAGAAAGCCAGGGGGUGUAUUUGCUGUUUGGGGCUACAAUGACAUUGCAGUUAGUCCUACAUUUGACCCAGUGAUGAAGCGCUUCCACGACACCACUCUUACCUUCUGGAAUGAAAAGAUCCAAUGCAUAUUUGUUGAUGGUUACAAGACUCUGCCGUUCCCUUUUGAGAGUGUGGGGUUGGGGCGUGAGGGCCAGCCAGUGUCAUUGGAUAUACACAA